rnacentral:misc_RNA from 1 species
UGUGGCGACGACGGAGAAGCAAGAGGGGUGCAACGAACCCUCUAGGCUCGGUUCGAGUCUACGGAGCGCGGAGUUGUGUUCGAAUCAUGGCGACACCCGACCCCGUAGACCCAGCCACCCUAGAGAUAAAGACCCGUAGCAUAGAACAGACACUACUCCCACUAGUAAAGCAGAUCUCCACGUUAGUGUCGCACAGGGAACGUCCGCUAUGCUCGGACAGGAGUCUCCGUGCGGUUGCCAGAGUCGGCCAAGCUGUAAACCUGGCCGUCGAAAGAUUCGUCACCGUUGGCGAAACUAUUGCAGAUGACAAUCCGGAAAUUAAGCAGGACAUGUACGAGGCGUGUAAAGAAGCGAGGGUCGCUGGAUCGGCGAUCGAGAAACUAUGCGAAUGCGCGAUGGAGGACAGUUUGGCCGAUCGAGGCUCUGUCGUCAGGGCAGCAAGAUGCCUUCUUGGUUCCGUGACGAGAGUUCUUCUGUUGGCGGACAUCGUCGUCGUGAAACAGCUUCUCCUCGCGAAGGACAAGGUCGCUCGUAGUCUUGGUCGCCUUGAGAGCGUCUCCAAUUUCACCGAAUUCGUGAAGGCCUUCAGUCAGUUCGGCGCGGAGAUGGUGGAAUUGGCUCACUUAACUGGCGAUCGACAGAAUGACCUGAAAGACGAGAGACGAAGAGCACAGAUGGCCGCAGCUCGCCAAGUUCUGGAGCGGAGUACUAUGAUGCUGCUCACGUCUAGCAAAACCUGCUUGAGGCAUCCGGAAUGUCCGUCUGCUAGGGAGAACAGAGACACCGUUUUCUGUCAAAUGAGGAGAGCCAUGGAUUUAAUACACUACGUGGUCAAGGAUGGAGUGUUGGACUGCAGCGAGUCGCAAUCGUAUUCGAACUCUCAGAGUCCACAGCAGGAAGACUGGGACAGCAGCACAGCUUUCUCCGCUUUGAAACAUUUCGAGAGACUGGUGGAAACUACAAGGAUGACUCUCCUAGGACCAGGAUGUCGAGAGACACUCACAUCUGCCCUGGAUACUGUCGUUGAGCGGACGCAGGACUUUACUGAUAGUGCUUAUACGAGUCACGAGCACAGAGAGAACAUCCUUUUGCUAUGCGAUCGAGCGAAACUCGAGCUCAAUACUCUCUUGCGGAUCGGUAACAGCAUGAAUUACGAAGGCGGCGGUGGAUCCCCAAGUUCUGAAAUGGAACAAGCUGUGUUGGGUGUGCUACGUACCACCAGGGAUCUUCGUCAGCAGCUGUGCACCACGACCAUGGAACAAGCUGGCGACUUAGGCCAGGUAACCAAAGCUGGCCAAGAACUUGUGUCGACGAUCACGAACCUGGCUCUGGCCAAUGACAUAAAUCGUCUUCAAGAGAGCAGCGACAGAUUUCAUGAGUACAUCGACCAUAUUCUUGAAGUAUGCAAAAUGCUGAGACACGUCGCACUUUCGGAAUCGCUGCAAGUUUCCGCGAAGUUCACGGAGAUCAACUUGAGAAUAUAUGGUCCCCAAGUGGUAACCGCCGCUCACACGUUGGCCAGACAUCCCACCAGUAAAAUUGCAAAGGAAAACCUAGAAGUGUUCACCGACAUGUGGCAGUGGCUUAUGACCGAUGUGACCACGGUGGCGAAAGACGUGCUCGAGUUGAACCAAAAUCGACCGGAGAAGCAAGUUUACAUGUCUCUGCCACGGCCAGGAAAACACGGUACCACAAGCAAGCCGUUGAAGCCCGUACGACUGGACAGCGAGGAGCAGGCGAAGAUCGCAAAGGCCGGCUUAGAGAUGAAGCUGAUCACUUCGGAGAUGGACGCGGAAACGGAGAAGUGGCAGGAGAGCGGAAGUGCCCUGGAGGAGAACAACGACAUCGUGAAACGAGCGAAAAACAUGUCGUCGAUGGCGUUCUCCAUGUAUCAGUUCACGCGAGGCGAGGGAGCGUUGAAAACAACCCAAGAUCUGUUCACCCAAGCUGAGUAUUUCGCCGAAGAGGCGAACAGAUUGUACAAGGUUGUGAGACAAUUCAGCUAUCAGGUACCAGGGGGCCCGCACAAGAAAGAACUGUUGGAAAACCUGGACCGCGUGCCGACGUACGUUCAGCAGCUUCAGUUCACCGUGAAGAACCCCACCGUCGGAAAAGCCGCCACAUUCACGAAAGUCGAUAACGUGAUACAAGAGACAAAGAAUUUAAUGAACGUGAUUUCGAAAGUGGUCACAACAUGCUUCGUCUGCGCCACAAAGCACAAUAUCACGAUGCCGCAGUACGUGGAGCUGAGUCCAACAACAGUACCCGGUCUGGGCGAAGAGGAUUGCUUGUACCCAGUUAGCCCUCAAUUACUCCCCUCGACAAGUCCUUACGUGCACCCUCAUCCUUUGACCUCCGCCCAGUUGCACGGCAUCCUCCGUGCACCUGGUCUGAAUUUUCCAUUAUUCAGCCCGUCCGUGGUUCCUCAAUCGACCGGGUCGAGCACCGGUUCACGAAAUUCCGCGUCCUUCGUGCAUCCCUCGGUCCUGCCAUACUCUUCGACGACCACAACGUCCAGUUGUGGACCGCAGGCACCGAAUUGUCUGCAGAAUCUACAGAUGCUGCAGCUGCAGCUGCACCACGCACAGCUGCAGCACUUAAGACACGCCACUCUGCCCAGAUAACAGAGACAGAUCGCCGAUGCUCGCGCGUACGCGCGUGCUACCGCUACGCUACUACGCGCACACCACGAAGCGUUGUUCUUUACGUUGCACAGUACAACCUGGAUUUCCGAGGUCUGUCGGCGCGUGGGGCCGGCGGCUCGCCGUACAGGGGCGGAGAGGGUGCGGGCGCCGACGGC